GAAGGAUGCUAAACGCAGCAUCAUGACUUAGCUUCGGAGCCACAGAGAGAAACUUCAAGGCUUAACUAACAUUGCAGAGGGAUCCUCCAGGAAACAGGAGCCUUUCUCUUAGUCGGAGCUUGCUCAGGCUUUUAUGAGGCUCGGCUAUGAAUAGAGUUACCAGACUGAAAAUGCCUGCAAACAGUGACACCUGGAAGAGCCACCAGAACUGGGUAAUUAUUCUAAUUUAUGGUGGUGGCAGAAGAUCAUCUCUGUUGGUUUAAGCAGGUUCUUUUGUCUAGCACCUAAGAACUAAAAAUCCUUUAACAGAUGGUUUUUCUGUCAGUUAGAGCAAAUGGUUCUCUAAACCAGUCUAGCAUCUGCAAAAAAAUUAUAAGUAUGUAUACAUAAGAUUCUGAUUGUUUACAUUAUCUUUUAAAAUUAAGAUUUUGACUUUGUCACAGAAUUAUAAAUUGAUAUUUCACAAGAGUGGUGACUAUUUAUAUCUUAAUGUGAAGAUGGUAUAUAGAAU
rnacentral:lncRNA from 1 species